GACGAACGCUGGCGGCGUGCUUAACACAUGCAAGUCGAACGGAAAGGCCCUGCUUUUGCGGGGUGCUCGAGUGGCGAACGGGUGAGUAACACGUGAGUAACCUGCCCUUGACUUUGGGAUAACUUCAGGAAACUGGGGCUAAUACCGGAUAGGAGCUCCUGCUGCAUGGUGGGGGUUGGAAAGUUUCGGCGGUUGGGGAUGGACUCGCGGCUUAUCAGCUUGUUGGUGGGGUAGUGGCUUACCAAGGCUUUGACGGGUAGCCGGCCUGAGAGGGUGACCGGCCACAUUGGGACUGAGAUACGGCCCAGACUCCUACGGGAGGCAGCAGUGGGGAAUAUUGCACAAUGGGCGGAAGCCUGAUGCAGCAACGCCGCGUGCGGGAUGACGGCCUUCGGGUUGUAAACCGCUUUCGCCUGUGACGAAGCGUGAGUGACGGUAAUGGGUAAAGAAGCACCGGCUAACUACGUGCCAGCAGCCGCGGUGAUACGUAGGGUGCGAGCGUUGUCCGGAUUUAUUGGGCGUAAAGGGCUCGUAGGUGGUUGAUCGCGUCGGAAGUGUAAUCUUGGGGCUUAACCCUGAGCGUGCUUUCGAUACGGGUUGACUUGAGGAAGGUAGGGGAGAAUGGAAUUCCUGGUGGAGCGGUGGAAUGCGCAGAUAUCAGGAGGAACACCAGUGGCGAAGGCGGUUCUCUGGGCCUUUCCUGACGCUGAGGAGCGAAAGCGUGGGGAGCGAACAGGCUUAGAUACCCUGGUAGUCCACGCUGUAAACGGUGGGUACUAGGUGUGGGGUCCAUUCCACGGGUUCCGUGCCGUAGCUAACGCUUUAAGUACCCCGCCUGGGGAGUACGGCCGCAAGGCUAAAACUCAAAGGAAUUGACGGGGCCCCGCACAAGCGGCGGAGCAUGCGGAUUAAUUCGAUGCAACGCGUAGAACCUUACCUGGGUUUGACAUGGAUCGGGAGUGCUCAGAGAUGGGUGUGCCUCUUUUGGGGUCGGUUCACAGGUGGUGCAUGCCUGUCGUCAGCUCGUGUCGUGAGAUGUUGGGUUAAGUCCCGCAACGAGCGCAACCCUUGUUCACUGUUGCCAGCACGUUAUGGUGGGGACUCAGUGGAGACCGCCGGGGUCAACUCGGAGGAAGGUGGGGAUGACGUCAAGUCCUCAUGCCCCUUAUGUCCAGGGCUUCACGCAUGCUACAAUGGCUGGUACAGAGAGUGGCGAGCCUGUGAGGGUGAGCGAAUCUCGGAAAGCCGGUCUCAGUUCGGAUUGGGGUCUGCAACUCGACCUCAUGAAGUCGGAGUCGCUAGUGAUCGCAGAUCAGCAACGCUGCGGUGAAUACGUUCCCGGGGCU
rnacentral:rRNA from 1 species